rnacentral:rRNA from 1 species
AGAGUUUGAUCCUGGCUCAGGAUGAACGCUAGCUACAGGCUUAACACAUGCAAGUCGAGGGGCAGCAGGAGCUUAGCUUGCUAAGUUCGCUGGCGACCGGCGCACGGGUGAGUAACGCGUAUCCAACCUUCCCCCUAGUAGAGGAUAGCCCGGUGAAAAUCGGAUUAAUACUCUAUGUUGUUCAAUGCAGGCAUCUAAGUUGAACCAAAGAUUUAUCGCUAAGGGAUGGGGAUGCGUCUGAUUAGGUAGUCGGCGGGGUAACGGCCCACCGAGCCAUCGAUCAGUAGGGGUUCCGAGAGGAAGGUCCCCCACAUUGGAACUGAGACACGGUCCAAACUCCUACGGGAGGCAGCAGUGAGGAAUAUUGGUCAAUGGGCGAGAGCCUGAACCAGCCAAGUAGCGUGCAGGAAGACGGCCCUAUGGGUUGUAAACUGCUUUUGCUGCGGAGCAAUAAGGUGUACGUGUGCACCGAUGAGAGUACGCAGCGAAUAAGCAUCGGCUAACUCCGUGCCAGCAGCCGCGGUAAUACGGAGGAUGCGAGCGUUAUCCGGAUUUAUUGGGUUUAAAGGGUGCGUAGGCUGUUCGUCAAGUCAGUGGUGAAAUGCCGGGGCUCAACCCCGGAGCUGCCAUUGAUACUGUCGGGCUUGAAUCCUGCUGCCGUGGGAGGAAUGAGUAGUGUAGCGGUGAAAUGCAUAGAUAUUACUCAGAACACCGAUUGCGAAGGCAUCUCACGAAACAGGCAUUGACGCUGAGGCACGAAAGCGUGGGGAUCAAACAGGAUUAGAUACCCUGGUAGUCCACGCAGUAAACGAUGAUGACUAACCGCUGGCGAUACAGUGUCAGUGGCCAAGCGAAAGCGAUAAGUCAUCCACCUGGGGAGUACGACCGCAAGGUUGAAACUCAAAGGAAUUGACGGGGGCCCGCACAAGCGGAGGAACAUGUGGUUUAAUUCGAUGAUACGCGAGGAACCUUACCCGGGCUCGAACGGUGCAGGAAGGAUCUAGAGAUAGUGACGCCCUUCGGGGCCUGCAUCGAGGUGCUGCAUGGUUGUCGUCAGCUCGUGUCGUGAGAUGUUGGCUCAAGUGCCAUAACGAGCGCAACCCUUGCCGCCAGUUACCAUCAAGUGAAGUUGGGGACUCUGGCGGGACUGCCACCGUAAGGUGUGAGGAAGGCGGGGAUGACGUCAAAUCAGCACGGCCCUUACGUCCGGGGCGACACACGUGUUACAAUGACGCCUACAGAGGGAAGCCACCCGGCGACGGGGAGCAGAUCUCGAAAAGGCGCCUCAGUUCGGACUGGAGUCUGCAACCCGACUCCACGAAGCUGGAUUCGCUAGUAAUCGCGCAUCAGCCAUGGCGCGGUGAAUACGUUCCCGGGCCUUGCACUCACCGCCCGUCA